AGUGUGUAACAACUCACCUGCCGAAGCAACUAGCUCUGAAAAUGGAUGGCGCUUGAGCAUCACACCUAUACCCAACCACUGGGGCAAAACAGGCAAAAUGUAGUUUGCAGUAUCCAGGGCCUACGGGCCCCAGUGAGUAGGAGGGGCGCGGCGGUGUGCGCGGAAGGGAUUGGGCGUGAGCCUGCCUGGAGCCGCCGUCGGUGCAGUUCUUGGUGGUAGUAGCAAAUACUCGAGCGAUAUCCUGGAGAUCUGAUGUGGAGAAGGGUUCCAUGUGAACAGCCUUUGCACAUGGGUCAGUCUGUCCUAAGCUGCAGGAGAAAUCCGGGUUUUGGCGAAAUGGGCUCUCCUGAAAGUUUGAAAAGAAGAAAUUCUUUUUCAUAUUGAAGGGUAUUGCCUGCCAAACUGUUAGCGAGAGGGAAUCCGGUACUGAUUCCGGAACCUGGUCAUGGACAACCUCUCUUCGGAGAGGAUAGUUGGGGUCCUUGUGAUCUACACCGUAAGGUGGCUAAACUCGGGGAAGUCGGCUGCUGUCCCGGGCAGAGUCUUCUGUUCUGUAUAAGGGCCCGGAUCCCUGGAAUCGCUUCGCGCGGAGAGAGGGAACUGGUUUUAUUUUAGCCCGAAGAGCCCCGCAGUUCUUGCGGGGUCCGUUGGACGGUGGUCGAACCAUGAAAACUCGAGAGAGGGCGUACAACUUUCAUGCCAGUCUGUACCGAUAUCCGC
rnacentral:rRNA from 1 species